GAGUAGGAGGGUGGAGAGAGCUGGAGAGCGGAGGCAUAGAAAUCAAUAUUGUUUGUCAUAACUUUAGAAAUUUGGCCUGGACCAGUCUGCGUGACAGAUACACGCGCCUUGUCGUCGCUCCUCCUGUGCGCGAGGGGCGGACGCGUCACGAUGACGUCACUGUGAGUGAGCUGAAGAUUGUAGUGGGGGGAUGGGGAAGAGGAGGGGAGUUUGGUGAAUCGUUUGGGGAUCGAUUUUGUAUAUAGUGCAUACACACCGGAGUCAUUUUAUAGUCUCCGGCGCUCGUGACUAGAACAUAGGAAUCAAAAGAAGAAUCUGUUAACUGCCCUUGCAGCGAGUUAAUAUUUAAGAUUUAAAGGCGUCUGAAUAUGAUCAUAUUAUUUUGGAAGAUGGAUAUUUGAAGCAUCCCAAACACUCCCACCCAGCGUCGUGCCGAAGACCCCACUAACGAUCCAGCGAUGGAAGGAAUACUAUUCCUGAUCAUACUCCAGUCUCUUCUGCUCUGGUUGUGCCCAUACACAACAUUUCAUCGGGAGGCUGUGCCAUCAUCCGGCCCCCCCAGGGAUGGAGGAAUCCGCUACCGAGGCCUGACUCAGGAACAGAUCCGGAGUGUGCAGAUCCUGCCGGUGGACUACGAGAUCGAGUACAUCUGUCGGGGGAACAGGAUGAUCGUGGGACCCAAGGUCCGCAAGUGUUUGCCCAAUGGGACGUGGACAGAGAUCUCACACCACAGCCGAUGCUUGCUGCUGUGCCCGAGGGUGUGGACGUCUCUGGAGAACGGUCGUGUUAUGUCGCAGCCUGCUGGGGUGCCAGUAGAGGGCGCUGUUCUACACUACAGCUGCCACGCAGGCUUCCUGCUGCAGGGGAGGAAUUCGAGCCACUGCACCAAGCUGGGGAAGUGGGACUCUCCCAAACCCACCUGUAUCUAUGACAGGAACUACACAGGUAAGAAGAAGCUGUACAUUGGAGCUCUGUUCCCCAUGAGCGGUGGUUGGCCGGGGGGUCAGGCCUGCCUCCCCUCGGCCCAGAUGGCCCUGGACCUGGUCAACAACCGGACUGACAUCCUGCCGGACUACGAGCUGGAGCUCAUCCACUACGACAGCAUGUGCGACCCUGGGGAGGCCACCAAGCUGCUGUACGACCUGCUCUACACGGAGCCCAUCAAGAUCGUGCUGAUGCCGGGCUGCAGCGGCGUGUCCACCCUGGUGGCGGAGGCCGCGCGCAUGUGGAACCUCAUCGUGCUGUCGUACGGGUCUAGCUCGCCCGCUCUCUCCAACCGCCUGCGGUUCCCCACCUUCUUCCGGACCCACCCCUCCGCCACGCUGCACAACCCCACCCGCGUGCAGCUCUUCCAGAAGUGGAAGUGGACGCGCAUCGCCACCAUCCAGCAGACCACUGAAGUCUUCACCUCCACCCUGGAUGACCUGGAGGAGAGGACAAAGGAGGCUGGUAUUGAGAUUAGCGUCCGCCAGAGUUUCCUCACUGACCCUGCCGUCGCUGUGAAGAACCUCAAGAGACAGGACGCCAGAAUCAUUGUGGGUCUUUUCUAUGAGACAGAAGCCAGGAAGGUGUUCUGUGAGGUGUUCAAGGAGAAGUUGUAUGGGAAGAAGGUCGUCUGGUUUCUGAUUGGCUGGUACGCUGAUAACUGGUUCAAGAUCAAAGACCCGGCCAUCAACUGCACCGUGGAGAACAUGACAGAGGCUGUGGAGGGUCACGUUACCACGGAGAUAGUGAUGCUCAACCCAGAGACCAUUAAAGGAGCGUCUAAUCUGACCUCCCAGGAGUUCAUCGCGGCUCUGAUGUCCCGUCUCGGGGGGAUGAACCCGGAGGACACGGGGGGCUUCCAGGAAGCCCCGCUGGCCUACGACGCGGUGUGGGCCCAUGGCCCUGGCCCUCAACAAGACCGUGGCCCCCCUGAGGCGAAAGGGGCCGGCGCCUGGAGGACUUCAACUACAACAACCACGACAUCACCUCCGAGAUCUACCGGGCCCUCAACAGCAGCUCCUUCGAAGGGGUGUCGGGUCAUGUGGUCUUUGACGCUCAGGGUUCAAGGAUGGCCAUGACGCUUAUUGAACAGCUCCAAGGUGGCAGCUAUAAAGCAGAUGGUUGGUUACUAUGACAGCUCACAGAGGAACCUUUCCUGGUUUGGGAACGACGUGUGGAUUGGGGCGGGACCACCAGCCGACAGGACUUGGUGAUCGAGGAGUUCGCUUCCUGUCCCAGAAGCUGUUCUCGGUGGUUGCUGUGUUUGCUGGACUGGGCAUCCUGCUGGGGUUCCUCUGCCUCUCCUUCAACAUCUACAACGGAGCCGUGCGAUACAUCCAGAACUCCCAGCCCUACCUCAACAACAUGACGGCCGUGGGCUGCAUGAUGGCGCUGGCGGCCGUCUUCCCGCUGGGCAUCGACGGACAUCACAUCCACCGCUCGCAGUUCCCCGUCGUAUGCCAGUUCAGACUGUGGCUGCUGGGUCUAGGCUUCAGUCUGGCCUACGGCAGCAUGUUCACCAAGAUCUGGUGGGUCCACACACUCUUCACCAAGAAGGAGGAGAAGAAGGAGAAGAAGAAGCUCCUCGAGCCCUGGAAGCUGUAUGCCACGGUGGGGGUUCUGCUGGCUGUGGACUUCAUUUCUUUGCUGGUCUGGCAAAUUGUAGACCCGCUGCACAUCACUGUGGAGAAGUUCACCAGAGAAGCUCCUAAAGGCGAUCUCGAUGUUCUGAUCCAACCGCUGCUUGAGCAUUGCAGCUCUGAGAAGAUGAACACCUGGCUCGGUGUAGUGUACGGCUAUAAGGGACUGUUGCUGUUGCUCGGGAUAUUUUUGGCAUAUGAGACAAAAUCGGUGUCGACAGAGAAGAUCAACGACCACCGCGCCGUCGGCAUGGCGAUAUACAACGUGGCGGUGUUGUGUAUGAUCACGGCCCCGAUUACCAUGAUUCUGUCAUCACAACAAGACGCUUCUUUUGCGUUUGCAUCCAUGGCGACGGUUUUCUCCUCUUACAUCACCUUGGUGGUUCUCUUCGUUCCCAAGAUGCGUCGUCUGAUCACGCGGGGCGAGUGGCAGUCCGAGCAGCAGGACACGCUGAAGACAGGCUCGUCCACCAACAACAACGACGAGGAGAAGUCCCGGCAGCUGGAGAGAGAGAACCGGGAGCUGCAGAAGAUCAUCCAGGAGAAGGAGGAGAGAGUCACGGCCCUGAGGAACCAGCUGGCCGAGCGCCAGGCCCUUCGCCGCCGGCCGUCCGCCGGCCAGAACCAGAACCAGAACCACAGCGCGCCCCCGCCCUCCUCCAAUGCCGAGCCCAAGUCCAUGCUCCCCCCGCCGGGGUACCCCGCCUCCCCCACCCCCCCCACCUCCCUGUACCCCACCGCCGACGGCAAGAUGAGCCGCAACCACUGCCACAGCAGCCAGAUCCCCCUGCUGUACAAGUAGCUCGCACUGGGGACGGACUGGGAACACAUACUGGGGACAAACUGGGGACAUACUGGGGAGAUACAGCCACCUACUGGGACAGACUGGGAACAAACUGGGGACAUACUGGGGAAAUACAGCCACCUACUGGGACAGACUGGGAACACAUGUUGGGAACAAAUUGGGGACACACGGCCACCUACUGGGACAGACUGGGAACACAUACUGGGAACAAACUGGGGACAAACGGCCGCCUGCUGGGACAGACUGGGAACACAUACUGGGACAAACUGGGGACACACGGCCACCUGCUGGGACAGACUGGGAACACAUACUGGGGACAAACUGGGGACAUACUGGGGGAAUACAGCGACCUACUGGGCUGGACUGGUAACACAUACUGGUUACUCACUGGGGACCCACUGGGGACAUACGGCGCCAUACUGGGACAGACUGGGAUCACUUGCUGGUUACGCACUGAGGACAUACUGGGGACAUACGGCGCCAUACUGGGACAGACUGGGAUCACAUACUGGGAACAAACAGGGGACAUACUGGGGAAAUACAGCGACCUACUGGGACAGACUGGGAUCACAUACUGGGAACAAACAGGGGACAUACUGGGGAAAUACAGCGACCUACUGGGACAGACUGGGAACACAUACUGGCUACAAACUGGGGACAUACUGGGAUAUGCUUGGACAAACUGUUAACACAUAACGGUCAUAAACACAAACUGAGAAUACAGGGCACGCAUGGACGUAUUCUGACGUACUGGGACACAGGGAAGACACAGACGUACCGGGACAUACUGGUAACCCAUACUGGUAACACGCACGGGAAAUACUUGAGAAUACUGGGACAUACUUCGAACACUGGGAGACACUGGGAAUAUAUUGGGAGGUACUGGGAAAUACUAGAUUUACAGAGACAUACUGGGAACAGUGGGGCAUACUGGGGACCACAGGUGCAUACUGGGGAUACGGGGACAUACUGGGAAUAGAGAAAGAUAUUGGGACAUACAGGGAAUACUCUGAUAUACUUGGACGUACUGGGACAUACUAUGAAUAUUGGGAUACACUGGGAAUUCAGGGACUAACUGGGACAUACUGGGGUGUACUGGGAUGAUGUACUGGGACACACCUGCUUGGGCAGGUAGCACAAGGUUUUUUCUGAGCUUGUUUUGGUGUUUUAUACCUGGAGACACCUCACCGGUCACUCGCUACACAGACACUGCCCAGAGAAACACCACGACUAGGCCAGGGCACACCGGAGAUGUGUGUGAUUGCUAUCUUUGACAUUUGUCUGAAACUUUGUUGAUUGUAGAGUUUUAUUGUUCUGUAGUAUGGAUAUCUGUUAGUCACAAAAUGCUGUUUACUUUUGGAAAGUAAUAGAUUUUACCUACGGACAAAUCAAUGUAUCGUUUUCCAAUGUUUCGUUCCACUCCUUCUCCUGAGAGUGGAGUCUGAUCUGUAUGAGAAGACGGCAGAAGAUCUGGUCUGGUUAUCAAUGGGUUAAUAUCGGGUUAAGAUCUGGUUAACCUCUGGUUUAAACCUCUCUUUGGCGCAGCUUUUGGAUUCAAAGCCUGGGAUCAGAUAAUAUUGUAAUAAUAUUGAUGUCUCAAUACCGUUCGGAUUGUGUUGGCAUUUGAAAGGUUUUUUUAUAAAGACGUUUUAUAAAGAACUGAACAGUAGUAAGCCAUGGUCCAAGUUGGAGCACAUGUCAGAGUUCAGGCUGGACCAUGUUCAGCCCAGCUCAACCCUGGUCAGCGCAGCUCACACCUUUCAACCUUCUGAUUAAGCACAACCAGCCUUGGUCUAAAGGCCUCAGUAUACUUCAAACUGAGUUGAACUUGUUCGCACAGGCUGUCGAACUGAUGUCCAACACUGGGAUCUGGACAGGGUACAAUAUAGUCACCGCAACGCGUGGGUUGUUUGUCUGAUGACACGAGUCACGGUGAGACCAGAUGCAAUCGUCACAUCGUACUGUUGACCAGAUGCAGGCAGCGGUGUAUUUGGGGGCCUGGGAGGAAUGUGUGUUCAGUGCGGCUUAGCAGCCAAUGGGAUCGCAGCUAAAUGAAGCGCUUCGAUUUUGCAAACCUGCCAUUUAGUCCAUGCGAACCUGCUCAUUUCUUUUUAAGUAUAUCCGGGCCUUAAACGCGAGUCUGUUCCUCUUCAUCUUUUUAUAGACCCCUAAACUAUGGUUUGGUCCCACAACUGACAAUCUCUGUACAUGUGUGUCAACUCUGACAGGGAAAACUUUGUCUCUUGUCAACACCUAAAUGUAAUGAAUAAAUACAUAUAUACAAUAAUAUAAAUAUAUACAUGUAUACUGUGCAAUACAGCAAUUAUAUGAGGAUCUCUCUUUCCCUCUCUUUCUCUCUCUCUCUCUCUCUCUCUCUCUCUCUCUCUCUCUCUCUCUCUCUCUCUCUCUCUCUCUCUCUCUCUCUCUGUUUUUUCUGGGGUUUCCCUGAAAUAUAAAGCAAUGAUACCUGACGGCGAUAUUGACAGAAAAGGUCAAACUUUAUUAGACUUUGUUAAACUAUAUUUCAUAAAGCACUUUACUACAGAAUCACAUAAUCUGAUAGUUUGGACCACAUGGAGCUCAGGGUUGGAGAUAGAAGCCACACCAUCUCUGUUCCAUAGCUCAUUUGAACCCUAAUCCCUUAAACCCAUACCCCAUCUCACCCUAACCCCAUAACCCCUUCACCUAACUCCUUACCCCAUUUCACCCUUAACCUCCAACCCCUAACCCUCAACCCUAAUCCAUAUCUCACCUUAACCAUAACCGUAACCCCCUUACCCAUAUCUAAACUUAACCAUAACCCAUACCCCCUAGGCCAUAGAUCAAAUUAAACACAACCCUAUCUCCUCUUAACAUCCAACCCCCCAACCCAUACUUAACCCUACCCUUGACCAACAUGUAUGACCUGUUAGUUAAUAUUGCACAUGCAUAAAGGUAUAGCUGGAUCUCAACAUAUUUGUAUUCACUGUAUCUUCAAACUUUAAAUGUUAUAAUACUUCAAAUUAUAUGUAUGCAAAUAUAUGGUUCAAUAAAGCUGUUGAUUUUUCACUGGA